GUGCUCGCUUUGGAAGCAUAAAUACUAAAAUGGGAAUGGUACAAAGAUUAGCACGGCCCCUGCACACAGAUUACACACAAAUCCAUGAAGCGUUCCACAUUUUU
ensembl:snRNA U6 U6 spliceosomal RNA